AGCGGCAGCCCGAUCACCCCCAAACCUCGUCAGCAUCCCCACCUGGCCCCAACCUGCCAGCCUUCACCAGGCUCUUAACAAGAGGCCAGUUCUCAGCCAGCCUCUCUCCUGUCCUUGAGCGGCAAGUGGGCAGCUGAGCAGAAUUGUAAAAACAGUUUGUGAACUACCUUUGGAGCCCGUAAAGUGGAGAUGAGCCCCAUGCAUGUCACUGAACUCAGAACAUGGGGAGCCUGGGUUACAGAUCCACAGAAUAACCAAGACCAGCGUGGCAGGGGCCUCCAGGGGCCGAAACCUCCAGGAGAGAAGUCAGUAAAUGUUAUAGAAAGCACAGCCUGUGUCGGGAAUGGAGAUGAAAUAUUUCUUUGUUAGACAUGCCAUCAAAAAGUCCCGAAGUUGAGGAAGAACGCAGGUUUAUUUUCAAAUAAAUGCUCACUUGGA
rnacentral:lncRNA from 1 species